rnacentral:lncRNA from 1 species
AAAAUCUGUCGCUUCGGCCAGAUUUACCGAGGACAAAUUUGAGCAAAGGAGGGACACACGAAAGGAUGUUUUCUUUUUUGCAGGAAAGGUUCUAAUAGUGAACCAGGUUCUAAUAGUGAACCAGACUCUGAUAGUGAGUCAGACUCUGAUAGUGAGUCAGCAGGUUCUGUAUCCGAGGCGAGAAUCGGAUUCUGAUAGUGGAUCUGUAGCCUUGGUCAGAAUCAG